GAUGAACGCUGGCGGCGUGCCUAAUACAUGCAAGUCGAGCGAACAGACGAGGAGCUUGCUCCUUCGACGUUAGCGGCGGACGGGUGAGUAACACGUAGGUAACCUACCUAUAAGACUGGGAUAACUUCGGGAAACCGGAGCUAAUACCGGAUAAUAUUUCGAACCGCAUGGUUCGAUAGUGAAAGAUGGCUUUGCUAUCACUUAUAGAUGGACCCGCGCCGUAUUAACUAGUUGGUAAGGUAACGGCUUACCAAGGCAACGAUACGUAGCCGACCUGAGAGGGUGAUCGGCACCACUGGAACUGAGACACGGUCCAGACUCCUACGGGAGGCAGCAGUAGGGAAUCUUCCGAGAUGGGCGAAAGCCUGACGGAGCAACGCCGCAUGAGUGAUGAAGGUCUUCGGAUCGUAAAACUCUGUUAUUAGGGAAGAACAAACGUGUAAGUAACUGUGCACGUCUUGACGGUACCUAAUCAGAAAGCCACGGCUAACUACGUG
rnacentral:rRNA from 1 species